rnacentral:rRNA from 1 species
ACUCCUACGGGAGGCGAGCAGUGGGAAUAUUGGCACAAUGGGCGCAAGGCCUGAUGCAGCCAUGCCGCGUGUGUGAAGAAGGCCUUCGGGUUGUAAAGCACUUUCAGUCGUGAGGAAGGUGGUGUAGUUAAUAGCUGCAUUAUUUGACGUUAGCGACAGAAGAAGCACCGGCUAACUCCGUGCCAGCAGCCGCGGUAAUACGGAGGGUGCGAGCGUUAAUCCGAAUUACUGGGCGUAAAGCGCAUGCAGGUGGUUUGUUAAGUCAGAUGUGAAAGCCCGGGGCUCAACCUCGGAAUUGCA